rnacentral:rRNA from 1 species
CCCUGCCUUUUGUACACACCGCCCGUCGCUCCUACCGAUUGAAUGGUCCGGUGAGAACGUCGGAUUUUGCACUCGACACCUCUUCGGAGGCGACUUGUGCGAAAGAAGUUGUUCAAACCUUACCAUUUAGAGGAAGGAGAAGUCGUAACA